ensembl:rRNA 5S_rRNA 5S ribosomal RNA
GUCUACAGCCAUACCACCCUGAACGCGCCCGAUCUCAUCUCAUCUCGGAAGCUAAGCAGGGUUGGGCCUGGUUAGUACUUGGAUGGGAGACCGCCAGGGAAUACCGGGUGCUGUAGGCU